AAGGAUUCCCCUAGUAACGGCGAGUGAAGCGGGAAGAGCUCAACUUUGUAAUCUGGCUGUCUUUGGCAGUCCGAGUUGUAGUCUAGAGAAGCGUGAUCCGCGCCGGACCUGAGAUAUGUCUGUUGGAAAGCAGUGUCAUAGAGGGUGACAAUCCCGUUUUUGCUCAGGACGACCGUGUGCAUUGUGGUCCGCUUUCAAAGAGUCGAGUUGUUUGGGAAUGCAGCUCUAAUUAGGUGGUAAAUUCCAUCUAAAGCUAAAUACCGACGAGAGACCGAUAGCGAACAAGUACAGUAAUGGAAAGAUGAAAAGCACAUUGAAAAGUGGUUGAAACAAUACGUGAAACCGUUCAUAGGGAAACGAUGGAGCUUAGACACGCUUGGCAGAGUUCAGCCGUAUGGUGUAUUCUCUGCCUGUUUGCGGGCCAGCAUCAGUUUGCUUCGAGGGAUAAGGGUGCUUGGAAUGUAGCUGUCUCGGCAGUGUUAUAGCCUUGUACUGGAUGCCUUGUCGCAGACUGAGGAACGCAGUGCGCCUUCACGGGCAGUGUUUUUAAACACAGAGCACUUAGGAUGCUGGUAG
rnacentral:rRNA from 1 species